UACGUAGGGUGCAAGCGUUAAUCGGAAUUACUGGGCGUAAAGCGUGCGCAGGCGGCUUUGCAAGACAGAUGUGAAAUCCCCGGGCUCAACCUGGGAACUGCAUUUGUGACUGCAAGGCUAGAGUACGGUAGAGGGGGAUGGAAUUCCGCGUGUAGCAGUGAAAUGCGUAGAUAUGCGGAGGAACACCGAUGGCGAAGGCAAUCCCCUGGACCUGUACUGACGCUGAGGAGCGAAAGCCAGGGGAGCAAACGGG
rnacentral:rRNA from 1 species